CCUACGGGUGGCAGCAGUGAGGAAUAUUGGUCAAUGGACGAGAGUCUGAACCAGCCAAGUAGCGUGAAGGAUGACUGCCCUAUGGGUUGUAAACUUCUUUUAUAAAGGAAUAAAACGAGGCACGUGUGCCUUUUUGCAUGUACUUUAUGAAUAAGGAUCGGCUAACUCCGUGCCAGCAGCCGCGGUAAUACGGAGGAUCCGAGCGUUAUCCGGAUUUAUUGGGUUUAAAGGGAGCGUAGGCGGGUUGUUAAGUCAGUUGUGAAAGUUUGUGGCUCAACCGUAAAAUUGCAGUUGAUACUGGCGUCCUUGAGUAGGGUAGAGGUAGGCGGAAUUCGUGGUGUAGCGGUGAAAUGCUUAGAUAUCACGAAGAACUCCGAUUGCGAAGGCAGCCUGCUGGACUGUAACUGACGCUGAUGCUCGAAAGUGUGGGUAUCGAACAGGAUUAGAUACCCCUGUAGUC
rnacentral:rRNA from 1 species